UGGGGAAUUUUGGACAAUGGGGGAANCCNUGAUCCAGCCAUCCCGCGUGUGCGAUGAAGGCCUUCGGGUUGUAAAGCACUUUUGGCAGGAAAGAAACGUCGUGGGUUAAUACCCCGCGAAACUGACGGUACCUGAAGAAUAAGCACCGGCUAACUACGUGCCAGCAGCCGCGGUAAUACGUAGGGUGCAAGCGUUAAUCGGAAUUACUGGGCGUAAAGCGUGCGCAGGCGGCUUUGCAAGACAGAUGUGAAAUCCCCGGGCUCAACCUGGGAACUGCAUUUGUGACUGCAAGGCUAGAGUACGGUAGAGGGGAGUGGAAUUCCGCGUGUAGCAGUGAAAUGCGUAGAUAUGCGGAGGAACACCGAUGGCGAAGGCAGCUCCCUGGACCUGUACUGACGCUCAUGCACGAAAGCGUGGGGAGCAAACAGGAUUAGAUACCCUGGUAGUCCACGCCCUAAACGAUGUCAACUGGUUGUUGGGAGGGUUUCUUCUCAGUAACGUAGCUAACGCGUGAAGUUGACCGCCUGGGGAGUACGGCCGCAAGGUUG
rnacentral:rRNA from 1 species